rnacentral:rRNA from 1 species
GUGUCGGACCUGCCCGGUGACCUACGGGUUAAACGGCCGCGGUACACUGACCGUGCAAAGGUAGCACAAUCACUUGCCUUUUAAUUGGAGGCUGGUAUGAAUGGUUUGACGAGGGCUGAGCUGUCUCUCCUUGAAUAUUUAAAAAUUAACUUCUAGGUGAAAAGGCCUAGAUUAAGCUGAGGGACGAGAAGACCCUGUUGAGCUUUAGUGUGGAGUGGAGUGGUUGUUCCUAUUGUGAUAGAGGACUUUAGGUUUGUUUUUACAUCUUUAGUUGGGGUGACUAGGGAACAUAGAAAGCUUCUCUGUUGAUUUUGUGGAUUUUUAGUUUACUGACGAAUGACCAGCAUUGUUGAUUAUCGGAAAAAGUUACCACAGGGAUAACAGCGUAAUCUUUCUGGAGAGUUCACAUUGAAAGAAGGGUUUGCGACCUCGAUGUUGGAUUAAGGUGUCCUGAGGGUGUAGCAGCUUUCAUUGGUUGUCUGUUCGACCAUUUAAACCUU